ensembl:misc_RNA Metazoa_SRP Metazoan signal recognition particle RNA
GCCGGGUGUGGUGGUGCACGCCUGUAGUCCCAGCUACUCAGGAGGCUGAGGCAGGAGGAUUACUUGAACCCAGGAGUUCGAGGCUGCAGUGAGCUGUGAUUGUGCCACUGCAUUCCAGCCUGGGCAACGGAGUGAGACAUUGUCUUUA